rnacentral:lncRNA from 1 species
CCCCUCAAGCAUUCCUAGACUCUAGUUUAUCUUAAUAGAAUGCACUGCAUUAAUGAGUAAUGUACAAUGACCUAUCAUUAUAAUUGCUUAUGUAUAUCCACAAUAUUUGAAUAUCUUAUCUGAAUAGUUGUCAACAUGUAUGGUCCAUGCCAAUGGAAAUCUGACCACAUCCUCUUCUUUUUAUAUUUGCAUAUCAAUGAAAGAAUGACUGCAACUGCAUACAAUACAUUUCAUAAAUUAUGCGGUGCCAUAAUUACAGUGCAAGAUAUGAAAACGAAGAUUUAAAAAUUCGCUGAUGAAAUAUGUUGUUUUCCGGACCCCUCCUCCUUUUUCCAAACAUUAUUUAUUCAAUUGUACUGAAAACACAAACAAAUACAAAUUAAGGUGAAAGUGUUUAUAAAAAAUGAAAACAUAUC